ensembl:lncRNA
CCUAGUGGUGGGACUGAGGGGAUCAUUUUGCUGUAACUUGCAGAGAGUAGGAGCCUGGGAGUAUCUAGUCCUCCCUGAGCACCAAAUAAGCAGUGUACAAAUUUUUGGUCAAAAUUUGUAAACUUUAUUUAACUUCAAAAAGACAAAAUAACAGACAAAAGGCAGCUUGAGCUUUGUUCUUCCCAAGGAUCAGAUGAAUGACCCAGAGCAGGAACUACCCCUACGAAGUUAGAAUACCAUGAAACCCAAUCAAGCCACAGGCAAGGAAGGACCUUCACUGUACGGUCAGGCGUGGGGUAGGUAGGUAGGAAGAACACCACAGCUAGGUCUGUGGGUUCUGAGACAGCACAAGUGGAGAAAAAAUGAAAAGCCCCUUCAGAAACGGAAUCCAGAACUUCAACUCGAACUAUCACAGUUAUGUACAAGGGUACCGUCAUGGGCCAGGAGCGUGAGGACUACAUUGCAUCAGGACCCUUGGGCCUAGGCGGCAGCUGCUGAGCCCUGCUUAAUCUCAGUUUUCCUCAUCACUGUCAUCCGGGCUGAUGGCUGGGCUGGUGAGGCUAUAGGUGGGGGCUGGUUGGGGAGUAGCCUGGAGAAGUGGGGGAAUAGGUAGAUCCCUUGGGGGAGGUGGGAGAGUAGGUAGGGCUGGUGGGGGAGUACUUGGGGGAAGUGGGAGAGUAUGUGGGGCUAGUAGGUGAAUACUUGGGUGAGGUUGGGGUAUAGACUGGAGAUGUUGGUGAGUACGUAGGAGAUGUUGGUGAGUAUUUAGGGGUGGUGGGUGAAUAGGUGGGGCUGGUAGGAGAGUACUUGGGAGAAGUGGGUGAAUACUUGGGGCUGGUAGGUGAGUAUUUGGGGGAGGUUGGGGUGUACUCUGGUGAGCUAGGGCUGUAGGAUGGACUGGUUGGGGUGUACUUGGGUGAAGUUGGGCUGUAGCUGGGAGAGCUGGGGCUGUAGCUGGGAGAGCUUGGGGUAUAGGUUGGAGACUGUGGUGUGUACCGUGGGCUUGAGGGAGAAUAGCUUGGUGAGGUUGGUGAGUAGCUGGGCGAAGUUGGGGAGUAGCUUGGAGAGGUUGGGCUGUAGUUAGGGCUAGUUGGGGUAUAAUUGGGACUAGUAGGUGAAUAGCUAGGUGACGUUGGGCUGUAGCUUGGUGAUGUUGGGGUGUAAUUGGGACUGGUUGGAGAGUAGUUAGGACUGGUGGGUGAGUAACUUGGGGAAGUUGGUGAGUAACUUGGAGAUGUAGGUGAGUAGCUAGGAGAUGUUGGUGAAUAGCUGGGGGAGGUAGGGGAAUAGCUGGGUGAAGUUGGGGAGUAGCUGGGAGAUGUUGGGGAGUAGCUGGGGGAUGUCGGGGAGUAGCUGGGGGAUGUUGGGGAGUAGCUGGGAGAGGUCGGUGAAUAGCUGGGAGAGGUGGGGGAGUAGCUAGGGGAUGUGGGGCUAUAGUUAGGACUGGUUGGAGAAUAGGAUGGAGAGGUUGGAGAGUAGGAAGGCGAAGUGGGAGAGUAUGAGGGACUCUGGGGUGUGUAACCCCCAGGGGAGCGGGGCUCAUAGGCAGGUGAUGUUGGCGAGUAGCUGGGUGACAUGGCACCACCUGCGGGGAAGAAGGCAACAAAGUGAGAUAAGCGAUGGUAAGACUCACUCAGAAAAAAGGCUCAAAGAAGAUGAGUAUGGUUGGAUAUUGACAACUCACCUGGUGAAGGGAUAUAUGGACUUGAGGGGCCAGGUGAGCCUGGAGAGCCUGGUGUGGGAGACCAGGCAGGGGAGUAACCUGGGCUGAAGCCGCUGGCAUCUGAAGCUGCACUGGGAGAGAAGCCAGCUGCCCCUGGGGUCAUGCCACUCCCUGGAAGGGGUUAGAGCAGGCUGAAACCAGAGCUGGAGCCCAACCACCCACCCUUUCCUCACCCAACCACCCCCAUGGCCUUUGCAGUUCAUCCAUGGUUGCUGCCCACUAUUCCAACUCACCCACCUCUGGACUCACCCACCUCUUGGGCCAGAUUACUC